CAAAGCCAGUGCCCCUGCCAUAGCUCAGUGACAAGGGGACGAUCACACAGGUGACAGAUAUGACAUGACAUGACAGAGCAUUGGCACUGCUCCACCAAGGGCUCUGUAAAUCCCUGGUGACAGGCUUGGGCAAGCAACUCACAAACACCUGGGAACUUGCUACACUUUGAUUGUUUGCAGGUUAGAUAUUAAGAAAAACUUGUUCUCAGAAAGAGUGGUUGGGCACUGACACAGGCUGCCUAGGGAAGCAGUGGAGUCAUUGUCCCUGGAAGUGUUCAAGAAACUCUCUUUCAUCAGUGUGAAGUGGAAGUGAAGACAGCCAAAGUCUUGGGUCUCAUCUUGCUGCUCUCAGAUCCUUGGCCAAUGGCACUCUGGAUAGUUCCAUCUACAGCAAAUCUUACGGUGCAACACCCGCAGUUCAUGCACUGGUGUAGAACUUCCCAGUAUCUUUGAACCUCUGGGUGAGGCCAGUGGCAUCUGAAUGAGAAAUGGAAGCCUCAGAAUGACAUGGGAUGUUCAUCAGGAUUUGGUGCCUCUGUAAAAAACCGUGCUUUUGUCAGAAGCAAAUCUUCAGGCUCCAGGCAUGCAAGUAGGCUGCCUCUUAGAAGACUAUGGAACGUCACUGAGGUGGCCAAUGCCAAAUGCACAUGGAGAUGCAGUGGGACAAACGAUGAAGAAAGAUGAUUAGAUGAAGAGGAAAAUGUCUUUGGAGUUAUGAAAUGACUGAUUAACAUGAAAACCUUGUGGCUAGUUUACAAGGAUAUUGGAUUUAGCAGGAGAAUUACUGAAAAUCAAACAAACUCGUAUUUAUGUAAAGACACACAUCAGAGUGACUGAAAGAACAUUUAUUUGAAAAAAAAUUGAUUUCAUUUCCAUCUUUCACCAGGAAACUAUUCUUUAUGAAGAAAGAAAAAUGUGAGUCCUUUGCAAAAUAUGAGAUCCAUUCAAUAUCCACUCCCUCCUUGAAAGUCUUGUCACACUUUUUUGCUAUUAAUCAAUGAUCUGUAAGAUGGCCAGGCUUUAAUCGAAGGAAAUGUUAUUAUUCUGCAGGUAAAAGCGUUUGCAACAUGCCAAAGGGUGUUUCUUUAAACUUUAAUGGAUAAAGCCUAGAGAGCAAGUUUCAUUAGUCUGUAGAGAAAAAACAUUUAUUUAUCAUAAUGUGUGAAGCCACGAGUUUUCUGCAUUUGCUUAUGAUCCUGACAAUUUUCAGAUAAAAUUAUAGGAAUAAUCAUGAAAAAGCCCCUGAAGCCUUAGAAUAUUUCCUGUGAGGAAAGAAGAGAUUGUUUCUGUCUGAUAAUUUAAUAAAUAAAUAAAUAAAUAAAUAGGAACAAAACCUAGCAUUUAAAUUCAAGCUAAAUAAAAAUCUUAAAAGGUUUUGUCUUUUCUGUGAGUACAAGGAACACAGGGAGUUCACUAGGAGACAUUUACCUUCUUGUUCUUGAGCUUAGGGGUCUGAACAGUUAUGCCCCCAAAGCGGCAGCUUCCUGUAAUAUUGACCGAACCACCUGAGGCUCCCAGCUCUGGGAAGCCAGGCUGGAUAUUUUGGAAGAAAGAUCUUUCCCCAGAGAUUUCAGGUACUUUCACUCUAGAUUUCAGCUAUAUCACUGACAAUUUUAUUUGUGCAGUUCUUGUGACGGUCCCAGUUGCUGAGUGCAAGUGAAACCCUUACCUCCCAGAUUAUGAAUUCUAUAAAAAGUCUUCUUAUAUUUCAAGAGUGGACAAAGGUUUACAGAGAGCACUCAGAUUAGAAGGAAGUAUGUACUGUGCUAGAAUGUUAGAAUACAGUAUGAUGAAUCCUGGUUCCUAUUUAAGGAAUUAAAAAUAGUGAUGCCUAAAAAAUAAACAAUGCUCUG
ensembl:lncRNA